AUUGAACGCUGGCGGCAUGCUUUACACAUGCAAGUCGAACGGUAACAGGGUGCUUGCACCGCUGACGAGUGGCGAACGGGUGAGUAAUGCGUCGGAACGUGCCGAGUAGUGGGGGAUAACGCAGCGAAAGUUGUGCUAAUACCGCAUACGUACUGAGGUAGAAAGUGGGGGACCUUCGGGCCUCACGCUAUUCGAGCGGCCGACGUCUGAUUAGCUAGUAGGUGAGGUAAAGGUUCACAUAGGCGACGAUCAGUAGCGGGUCUGAGAGGAUGGACCGACACACUGGGACUGAGACACGGCCCAGACGCGUCCGGGAGGCAGCAGUGGGGAAUUUUGGACAAUGGGCGAAAGCCUGAUCCAGCCAUGCCGCGUGUCUGAAGAAGGCCUUCGGGUUGUAAAGGACUUUUGUCUGGGAGGAAAUCCCCAGCGUUAAUACCGCUGGGGGAUGACAGUACCUGAAGAAUAAGCACCGGCUAACUACGUGCCAGCAGCCGCAGUAAUAC
rnacentral:rRNA from 1 species